ensembl:lncRNA
UCUUCUUCUGCUUUCUCAGGUGCAUUAGCAGGGAGCCGGAUCAGAAGUAGAGCAGCCGGGAGUCGAACCGGUGCCCAGAUGGGAUGCUGGCACUGCAGGUUUGGCUUAACCUGCUACACCACAGCACUGGCCUGGAAUAACAAAUUAAACCUCCAGUCUUAAAACUUUGUGUGUUUUGUGGAUAUUCAAAAAACAGAUUUUAAGAAUUGGCAAGUUUUGAGUUGUACACGAUAGUGAUGUGCAUGACUGUGAGUUCUUUGGGUACGUCCUCACUUAUUUCAUGUGCCCUUUUUUCCCCUGUAAACAAGUUCAUGGAUACGUGAACAAACCCGCUACAGCUGCCAGUGCACGCACACCGUUCACACUUGAUAUUGACCAAGGCUCCUUGGCUGUAUCUGUUCACUAGAAUGGCAGGAGGCAGCAUAGAGAAGACAGCAGCUGGGAGAAGGGGGAAGUAGGUGCUUUUGAAUUCUCCAGAAUAGGUUGAAAUGGUGUAUGUCUAGGACUUGGCGAAAUCCCAGUGGAGAACUGAUGUGCCUGCAGCCUGGCUCCGGCCUCCGGGUCACCGAGGUGAUGUAUGGAGGUGCUGCUCCUGGGCUCUGCUUCCCCUCGUGUGUUGGGGGAUGCAAACAAGGCCAGCCCUGGGCAGAAUUCCAAGAGAUGUCCAGCUCAGAAGUGCAAGCUGUCUGCCUGGGUCCCGGACCAAGACACCAGCACAGGCAUUAGCUCAGCACCCUGGGUUUCCGACAAGAGCGUCCUCCACCCUCGUCAGCAGGCCCCCAGGAUCCCCCUGUCUGAAACGUCCUAAGCAGCACUAAUUCUUGGCACUCAGUGUCUCCCUUGUUCUGUGUCCGCCCUAAUUCCCCAGCCAUCCAAGCGGCCUGGCUUCCUCCUGCCUUCUGCUGCUCAGAGUCUCCUUGGGACUAAGCUCCUCUGAGCCUCUCACCCUCCCGUCCUGUCCCCCUCUCCACCCUGUGUCCCAUGCAGCUGGUAGAGCGGAUCCAACUAUUUCACACCGAGGCGUGAAGGACUCCAUCCUGGGGGGGGGGGGUCCAAAGCAGAUGAAGAAACACACAUUUUAUUAUGCAAGCUGUCAAAGGACCUUCUCUUUCUGCCCACCCGGGCUUUUCCCCUCACAGGCCUCACUGAUGGUUGAAAUGACAUCAUUGGAUGGGGCUCCACUCCGCCUCCUAAUGUAGGGCACUUCUGCUCCCCUCCCAUCAAGCCCUCAGCUUCACUCUGCUGUAGAUGCGAGCCAGCGCAGGUCACUGGGUAGUGCAGGUAUUGCCUCAGGCGCCACCCGGCUGGCAGGACAAGGAUCUGGAAAUCGUGCCAGCCCUGGGCGAUUCGAACGUUUUCAUUUGGUCUGGAUCGAAUAAUCCCGCCCCCUACCUAGGCAUCAACUCAAAAUAUCCAGCUUUGCUUUAAAAACCUCUGACAAUCUAGCAGGCAGUGUGUUUGCCUUUGCCAAGGUAUACACACACACACACCCUAGCAGGCCAAGGAGUACACACACACAACAGGCCCAGUUGCACACACACACAUAUGCUGUAACAGGCCAAGGAGUACACACACACACACACCCUAACAGGCCAAGGAGUACACACACACACACACACACACACACUAACAGGUCAAGGAGUAUACACACACACACACACACACACUAACAGGCCCAGGUGCACAUACACACAGACCCCACGGAAGCGGGAGGUGCAGGCGCAGG